UACGGAGGAGGCAAGCGUUAUCCGGAAUUAUUGGGCGUAAAGCGCGUGUAGGCGGCUUCCUAAGUCUGAUGUGAAAGCCCGGGGCUUACCCCCGGAAGUGCAUUGGAAACUGAGAGGCUUGAGUACCGGAGAGGAAGGUGGAAUUCCUGGUGUAGCGGUGAAAUGCGUAGAUAUCAGGAGGAACACCGGUGGCGAAGGCGGCCUUCUGGACGGAUACUGACGCUGAGACGCGAAAGCGUGGGGAGCAAACAGG
rnacentral:rRNA from 1 species